UCCUCUUGGGUCUGGGGUCUGUCCCUCUUGGCCUCACUCCCCCAGGGAGCGAGCAAAGAGUUCCGGGGUGGCCUGGCCCGUGGUGUGACGGGGCCGUGCCCCCCAGGGGGCGUGAAGGCCUGCUCGCUCACGUGCCUAGCGGAAGGCUUCAACUUCUACACGGAGAGGGCGGCAGCCGUGGUGGACGGGACACCCUGCCGUCCAGACACGGUGGACAUUUGCGUCAGUGGCGAAUGCAAGCACGUGGGCUGCGACCGAGUCCUGGGCUCCGACCUGCGGGAGGACAAGUGCCGAGUGUGUGGCGGUGACGGCAGUGCCUGCGAGACAAUCGAGGGCGUCUUCAGCCCAGCCUCACCUGGGGCAGGGUACGAGGAUGUCGUCUGGAUUCCCAAAGGCUCCGUCCACAUCUUCAUCCAGGAUCUGAACCUCUCUCUCAGUCACUUGGCCCUGAAGGGAGACCAGGAGUCCCUGCUGCUGGAGGGGCUGCCCGGGACCCCCCAGCCCCACCGUCUGCCUCUAGCUGGGACCACCUUUCAGCUGCGACA
rnacentral:sRNA from 1 species